UCUUCUUCUUCUUUCUCUCGCCUUUCCCUUCCGGGACUGACGACGCAGUUGUCGAUGCUCGUAAAUAUUGUUUAGAAAAGAAGGCCCUGUUCGGGUGAUGGCAUGUUACACCUA
ensembl:ncRNA F15C11.7 ncRNA